rnacentral:rRNA from 1 species
AUUGAACGCUGGCGGCAGGCCUAACACAUGCAAGUCGAGCGGAUGAAGGGAGCUUGCUCCUGGAUUCAGCGGCGGACGGGUGAGUAAUGCCUAGGAAUCUGCCUGGUAGUGGGGGAUAACGUCCGGAAACGGGCGCUAAUACCGCAUACGUCCUGAGGGAGAAAGUGGGGGAUCUUCGGACCUCGCGCUAUCAGAUGAGCCUAGGUCGGAUUAGCUAGUUGGUGGGGUAAAGGCCUACCAAGGCGACGAUCCGUAACUGGUCUGAGAGGAUGAUCAGUCACACUGGAACUGAGAUACGGUCCAGACUCCUACGGGAGGCAGCAGUGGGGAAUAUUGGACAAUGGGCGAAAGCCUGAUCCAGCCAUGCCGCGUGUGUGAAGAAGGUCUUCGGAUUGUAAAGCACUUUAAGUUGGGAGGAAGGGCAGUAAGUUAAUACCUUGCUGUUUUGACGUUACCAACAGAAUAAGCACCGGCUAACUUCGUG